rnacentral:misc_RNA from 1 species
AAGUCGUAACAAGGUUUCCGUAGGUGAACCUGCGGAAGGAUCAUUAUUAAUUCUUCUUGAUAAGCGGCUGCGCGCGUUAAACCGCGCAGCUGUUUUUCUUGUGAACUGGGGCUGCUAGUGGUAAAGCUUUACGCUUUCCUCUAGCGGCCUGUCGUUAAUGCUCUUGUGUUAAUUUUUUUGUUUUUGCUUUUUUAAGCUUCACGGCUUAAGAAAAUAAAUACAAGACAACUUUCAGCAAUGGAUCUCUUGGCUCUU